UCUCCCCUCAGUUAACACACUGACCUAAUACCAGGCUGCUCUGUCCUUGAACGACAAGUACCUUCCCGACUCAAGCCCCCAAAGAUCUGCAAAGACUUCACACCCAAGACAACAACUGGCUCUGUAAACUGGUCCCAGCUCUGCUGCUUGGCAUCCAAUCCCAGGCUGAGAACAUAGCCAGCUUGGCAGCCUGGGUGGACAACGCCUGCACCCCUUUCUACCUUUCCUCCUGUGUGUUUUAAGGAACAUCCAAAGAGAAAAUAAUUAGAACCUGCAAGAAAACCCAUUGGCGGGCAGGAGGAAAGAAAAUUGUGGUGACUUAGGGACGCCACCACAUGUUUAUGGGAAUGCUUUUAUCUGGGCAUACCACUCUCCCCCGCUCCACACCCACGACAGAACGUAAAAUGCAGGUUUACCCGUGCACAUCAAAGUGAAGGAGGAGAAAAGUACGGCAUGAAGGCAGGGGAGAAAGGUCUUGCUAACAUUGCUGUCUCAGUGUGGAACAGUGUUAAUAACAGGUAGCUGACAAACAUUAUUACCCAGAGUCAAAGCUACCCUGGAGGAGAAUCCGUCUGCCAAGGGCUAACGCUAGCAGAUGCACUUGUGUCUCAGGGAUUCCAGCCUGGAGUUCCGUAGGCACCGCGCUGGUUCCCUGGCUCUUUCCCCCACUGUACUACCCCGUGCUCAGCCUCUGCUCUGAAGAAACUGGAUUUUGUUCUGCAGCCCAGUCUGGCCUUGAGUUUUCAAUCUUUCUGACUUAGCCUCCAGGUUCCUGAGAGUUCGACCCACAGUCUGCUCUGCAGCAAUGAAAACAACAACAACAACAACAACAACAACAAAUCCGCCAUGUUGUUUCCUAUGUAAGGAUAAGAAACGUUAAGAUGGACUAUAAAGAGAUAAAGAAAAAUGGUGCCACAGAGCACCCACCAACUCACAUGGACACGCUUCUAAGUGCUCAUAUAUGUGUUACGCACACAGAGCUGUCAAUGACUGAUGGGAGGGAGGGGGACUGAAGAGCUUCGGAGAAGAGCGAGGAGCAGACGCACUGCUGUGUAUCUAUGCUUCCUUACGUGAUAGAGACGUAGUCACCUCUGAAGACCUGAGCACUUGAAGAGAGUCCACAUGCAGUGUGUUGUAAAUGCUAACAUUGGGUGACAUAGAGGAUAUUAAAUAACUUUGUUUCACUUUUUUCAGUGUGGUCAUUUGUGGAGUUUUAAACGGCUUCACAUUUCUAUUGGCAAGCAUUUCUAUAUUCCCUUCGAGCUGAAUGUUCAGGCAUGAAUGUAUUGCUAGUCAAAGUUAAAUAAAAAUGGCCUGAUGGUAA